CUAACCUAUCUUGACACACUGAUAAAUAAGAUGGAGGAGAGUUCUCACUCAGGAAUGGAGAACCUUAAGGAUGUGAAGAAAUCAGAUAAAAGGUGGAAAUGGGUGCAGAUUCCAACCCCCAUAGCUGUGUCCACAACCCUUGAAAACAGAGUCCUCAAAAUCACAAAUAAGGCUGAUGUACUGCAAGAGAGACUGAAGCGUUUCAGAGGUCGGAAGUAUACUUGCUCUUGGUCCCUUGCUCUUGC